rnacentral:rRNA from 1 species
UUAAUUGAAGAGUUUGAUCAUGGCUCAGAUUGAACGCUGGCGGCAGGCCUAACACAUGCAAGUCGAGCGGCAGCGACAUCAACAAUCCUUCGGGUGCGUUGAUGGGCGGCGAGCGGCGGACGGGUGAGUAAUGCCUGGGAACAUGCCUUAGUGUGGGGGAUAACCAUUGGAAACGAUGGCUAAUACCGCAUAAUCUCUACGGAGCAAAGAGGGGGACCUUCGGGCCUCUCGCGCUAAGAUUGGCCCAGGUGGGAUUAGCUAGUAGGUGGGGUAACGGCUCACCUAGGCGACGAUCCCUAGCUGGUCUGAGAGGAUGAUCAGCCACACUGGAACUGAGACACGGUCCAGACUCCUACGGGAGGCAGCAGUGGGGAAUAUUGCACAAUGGGGGAAACCCUGAUGCAGCCAUGCCGCGUGUGUGAAGAAGGCCUUCGGGUUGUAAAGCACUUUCAGUAGGGAGGAAGGUGUUGUCGUUAAUAGCGGCAGCAUUUGACGUUACCUACAGAAGAAGCACCGGCUAACUCCGUGCCAGCAGCCGCGGUAAUACGGAGGGUGCGAGCGUUAAUCGGAAUUACUGGGCGUAAAGCGCAUGCAGGUGGCUUGUUAAGCCAGAUGUGAAAGCCCGGGGCUUAACCUCGGAAUAGCAUUUGGAACUGGCA